rnacentral:rRNA from 1 species
CAGCCGCCACGGUAAUACAGAGGGUGCGAGCGUUAAUCGGAUUUACUGGGCGUAAAGCGUGCGUAGGCGGCUUUUUAAGUCGGAUGUGAAAUCCCUGAGCUUAACUUAGGAAUUGCAUUCGAUACUGGGAAGCUAGAGUAUGGGAGAGGAUGGUAGAAUUCCAGGUGUAGCGGUGAAAUGCGUAGAGAUCUGGAGGAAUACCGAUGGCGAAGGCAGCCAUCUGGCCUAAUACUGACGCUGAGGUACGAAAGCAUGGGGAGCAAACAGGAUUAGAUACCCCUGUAGUCCCUGUCUCUUAUAC